GAUGAACGCUGGCGGCGUGCCUAAUACAUGCAAGUCGAGCGAACGGACGAGAAGCUUGCUUCUCUGAUGUUAGCGGCGGACGGGUGAGUAACACGUGGAUAACCUACCUAUAAGACUGGGAUAACUUCGGGAAACCGGAGCUAAUACCGGAUAAUAUUUUGAACCGCAUGGUUCAAAAGUGAAAGACGGUCUUGCUGUCACUUAUAGAUGGAUCCGCGCUGCAUUAGCUAGUUGGUAAGGUAACGGCUUACCAAGGCAACGAUGCAUAGCCGACCUGAGAGGGUGAUCGGCCACACUGGAGCUGAGACACGGUCCAGACUCCUACGGGAGGCAGCAGUAGGGAAUCUUCCGCAAUGGGCGAAAGCCUGACGGAGCAACGCCGCGUGAGUGAUGAAGGUCUUCGGAUCGUAAAACUCUGUUAUUAGGGAAGAACAUAUGUGUAAGUAAAUGUGCACAUCUUGACGGUACCUAAUCAGAAAGCCACGGCUAACUACGUG
rnacentral:rRNA from 1 species